GAAAUGCAGAAAUGCUAAAGUAAUUUAUCUUCCAGUUAUUGUCAGAAUACAAGUCCCAACAACAGUCAAUGGACUCAAGGCAGGAUUUACACAGUGGGCACCCCUAGGCCCACUGCUGUUCCUCUCCCCUGUACCUUCCCCCUUAUUCAUGCAAAUCUUCAUCAUUGGGACCGGAGCAAUGGGGAUUGCGCACGGAACAUUUUAAAAAUCUAGCUACUUACACCCAACAACAAUUGGGGACUAUCUUGAUGAGGUCACAUUUCCCAGACUGUUGCAAAACGAGGCAGCUGCAUUGGAUGCUCCAAUUACUCUGCAGGAGGUUCGAGAGGCGAUAGCUGCUCUUCCGCAGGGCAAAACACCAGGCCCAGACGGGUUUCCCGCAGCAUGGUAUAAACUUCAAAUCGAAAAUAUAUCUGGGCAUCUCCAUCAAACUUUCCUCGAUGCAACAGUUCAAGGGUCCCUUUUUUAAACUAAAGGUUAGUGGCAGAUCGGGAGAUGGGGAAGUCCGUUCGUUUGUCCGAUACUGCAGGUAAACCUGCACAUCUAUUGCCACCUUAAGGCUAGAUGGGAAAGUAGGACAGGAUGGAGACAAUAAGACAAGAUCUCCUAAGGCAAUAUGGUGACACUAUCACUACCUGCCCAGUAUAAAUUUAAUUUAAUAUCAAUGGUGAUGAAGAUAAGGCAGCUAUUUCAUUGCCCCUAAAAAAGAUGCAAAACCUAGUUGUUGAAGUACAUAUUUUACUGUGUAAACUACACCUUGGUUGCUAGGCUGACUUGCACCCAGGAACUCCCAAUCAAUUUGUUUUCCCAUUGCAACCGUACGAACCACAGGUCACAUGCAGUUUCUCUUUUCAAGUAUGUAGGGCAGAAAGGCAAAUCGUUACAUUAAAGAUACAAACUGAAGACAAAUUAUAUAUUAUAUUUCUGAUUCCAUGUCCAUAUAAUGGUAAUGUUUGCCACCCCUUUAAUUCUUUUUGCCUUAAUUCUCCUUGCUACUGCUAGGAUACUGAAUUAUAAGACACUGCCACUUUUGUUUUUAUAGGGGGUUAAAGUGCCACCUAGCCUUCCACAGGUACUAAAUGUAGAUAAUAAUUUACUGGUGACGGAGAGACACGGCUUCUUUGGACUUCAAAAAAUCUGGUUUUUCAGGCUUGGAACUCUAUAACCAGUCGGGUGACGUUACAGCCCAAGGUGUAUUGACCUCGCCAUGCAGUCGUAUUGUUAUACAAGGUGUGGACUAUUUAAAGAGCAUCAAUUCGUGUCAUGAGACAGUAACAAGCAGGAGCCGUGGGAGAUGUGACCGCUCACCUCUCAACAGAUCAUCUCACUCCCUUUGGCUCUUAUUACAUUUAGACCCACGAUGAAGUUUGGAAAAGUGAUUGGUCGCUGCUCGUUGCUCUUCAUCAUCGCCAUCAUAUUUGAUGUUGCCGGGAUUAUUCUGCUUCUCAUCGGGAUAUUUGCCAGCCUUGCUGCCUUUGACUUUUAUAUAUACACAGGCGCCCUUAUCAUUGCUCUGAGCCUAGUCUUGUGGAUGCUGUGGUACACUGGCAAUGUAGAGCUUUCCAACAAGGAUCUAGAGCUCAUGCUGUAACCUAUCAGAUAUUUCAUUUAUUAUAGGGGGACACUAGUUCCUUUCUAACAACAAAAACUUAAUGGACAUUUCAUGUUUGUCCCCCAAAAAUUGAUUGCUAGAAAAAUACAAACAUUUGAACACUUUCACUAUUAUUCUGAUAAAAUCUGUGAAUUCAGGAUUAUUUGGUGACACAGGAAGGGUGUUUGUUAAUUGCCCCCCUUCUCCCAUGGCACACACAAGGCUGAAGAAAAGGACAACUGGCAUUAAAUGGCUUUUUGAAGAAGAAAUGGCAGAUACUACGUAAGAUGUCUCAUGGGCAACACAAGUUGGACUGAUACCCAAAACACUGGAGAGAUUAUUAAUCAUGGCAACAUCGGGUCAUCCAUUUGGUCACAAGCUGGUCUGCAUUAGAACAUUCUCCUGACUAAAUCUGAAACAUUCCGUUGAUGUUCCUCGCAUGACCUCAUGUGUCAAUCCUUCAUCUCUGAAGUGAGAAGAAGGAUUGACAAUAACUGUGAUAAUCUUAUAGUACAACAUGGAUAAACUCAUCACUAAGAACGUUCCAAGAUUGUUGGAGAACUGGUUGCUUUAUGGACUGCUAUGCACUUUUCUCUCUAUUACCCUGAUCUUCUUGUAUAAAAGGACCCUUUUGAAUAUCUCUGAUGUGACCUACCUCACUCUGAAAAUCUAAAUAUGAAGGAUUUAGGACAAUGAAGACACCCAAAUCAUGUGUGCAUGUCUGAGGACUCUACAUUUCUCAUGUGACUUCUUUAAUAAAAUACCAUGUUAGUAUGGAUGACAUGGCAGAUAUCACUUCCAUUUUUAGGGUAUUGUUAUAAAAAGCACUAAUCUUGUCAAGGUCUAUAAACCUUAAUAGCAGCAACCAAUCGGGUAUUGUUUUUAACACCUAACCAGCAAAUGCUACCUGCUGAGUGGUUGCUAUGGGUUAUUAAACCAGUAGCAAACUUUGCACCUUUUUUACAUUACCCCCAUGCAUAAUGCUCAGAGCAGUUUUUUAGGGUAGAUUACAGAGGGCAUUUAUCCUGGGCACACUAGCAACAUAGGCAGGGCCGUUUUUAGGCCUGGUUUUGCCCUAAGCACCAGACCUCAGCCCUCUAAAUCAGCAUAUUCUCAGAACAUUUGUAUUUGCAUUAUUUAUAUAAGCGCCCACCCACCGCCAACCCUAAAUUUUCUGCUCUAGGCACUGGUCCGUCAAGUGAUUAUUUAGAAAAUAUGACCCUGUAAUUUAUAAUAGCAGUACAAAAAUUGUGUUAUAGAAUUUGGAAAUAUACAUCAACAAUGCUGAGCCUACACCCUCCCAGGGGAAUCUGCUGAAUCAUACACCUACUGAAUUAUUACACUCCAGGGUAAUACAAAUAAAGAAGAAUAAAAUGUU